AUUGAACGCUGGCGGCAGGCCUAACACAUGCAAGUCGAGCGGAUGAAGGGAGCUUGCUCCUGGAUUCAGCGGCGGACGGGUGAGUAAUGCCUAGGAAUCUGCCUGGUAGUGGGGGAUAACGUCCGGAAACGGGCGCUAAUACCGCAUACGUCCUGAGGGAGAAAGUGGGGGAUCUUCGGACCUCACGCUAUCAGAUGAGCCUAGGUCGGAUUAGCUAGUUGGUGGGGUAAAGGCCUACCAAGGCGACGAUCCGUAACUGGUCUGAGAGGAUGAUCAGUCACACUGGAACUAAGACACGGUCCAGACUCCUACGGGAGGCCGCAGUUGGGAAGAGUGGAAGAAGGGCGAAAGCCUGAACCAGGCAUGGCGCGUGUGUGAAGAGGUCUUCGGAUUGUAAAGCACUUUAAGUUGGGAGGAAGGGCAGUAAGUUAAUACCUUGCUGUUUUGACGUUACCAACAGAAUAAGCACCGGCUAACUUCGUG
rnacentral:rRNA from 1 species